rnacentral:rRNA from 1 species
CCUACGGGUGGCAGCAGUAGGGAAUAUUGCUCAAUGGGGGAAACCCUGAAGCAGCAACGCCGCGUGGAGGAUGAAGGUUUUCGGAUUGUAAACUCCUUUUGUUAGAGAAGAUGAUGACGGUAUCUAAAGAAUAAGCACCGGCUAACUCCGUGCCAGGAGCCGCGGUAAUACGGAGGGUGCAAGCGUUACUCGGAAUCACUGGGCGUAAAGGGCGCGUAGGCGGGAUAGCAAGUCAGGUGUGAAAUCCUAGGGCUCAACCAGAGAACUGCAUUUGAAACUGUGAUUCUAGAGUUUGGGAGAGGUAGGUGGAAUUCAUGGUGUAGGGGUAAAAUCCGUAGAGAUCAGGAGGAAUACAGAGGGCGAGGGGGCCCUGCUGGAACGUGACUGACGCUGAGGCGCGAAAGCGUGGGGAGCAAACAGGAUUAGAUACCCGAGUAGUC